rnacentral:rRNA from 1 species
AGCGUAUAUUAAAGUUGUUGCAGUUAAAAAGCUCGUAGUUGAAUUUCGGGGUCAGUAGGUCGGUCGUGCCACUGGUAUGAACUGGUUUUACUGACUCCUCCCUCUUGAAGAACUGUAAUGCCAUUAAUUUGGUGUUGCAGGGAAUCAGGACUGUUACUUUGAAAAAAUUAGAGUGUUUAAAGCAGGCUUUAGCUUGAAUACAUUAGCAUGGAAUAAUGAAAUUGGACGUUUGAUCCUAUUUUGUUGGUUUCUAGGAUUGACGUAAUGAUUAAUAGGGAUAGUUGGGGGCAUUAGUAUUCAAUUGUCAGAGGUGAAAUUCUUGGAUUUAUUGAAGACUAACUUCUGCGAAAGCAUUUGCCAAGGAUGUUUUCAUUAAUCAAGAACGAAAGUUAGGGGAUCGAAGACGAUCAGAUACCGUCGUAGUCUUAACCAUAAACUAUGCCGACUAGGGAUCGGACGAUGUUAAUUUUUUAAUGACUCGUU